rnacentral:rRNA from 1 species
AGUGGCGACGGGUGAGUAACGCGUGGGUAACCUGCCCUAUGCAGGGGGAUAACAGUUGGAAACGACUGUUAAUACCGCAUAAGCGCACAGUAUCGCAUGGUACGGUGUGAAAAACUCCGGUGGCAUAGGAUGGACCCGCGUCUGAUUUAGGCUAGUUGGUGAGGUAACGGCCCACCAAGGCGACGAUCAGUAGCCGACCUGAGAGGGUGUACGGCCACAUUGGGACUGAGACACGGCCCAAACUCCUACGGGAGGCAGCAGUGGGGAAUAUUGGACAAUGGGGGAAACCCUGAUCCAACGCGACGCCGCGUGAACGAUGAAGUAUUUCGGUAUGUAAAGUUCUAUCAGCAGGGAAGAUAAUGACGGUACCUGACUAAGAAGCACCGGCUAAAUACGUGCCAGCCGCAGC